rnacentral:rRNA from 1 species
UACGGAGGGGGCUAGCGUUGUUCGGAAUUAAUGGGCGUAAAGCGCACGUAGGCGGCUUUGUAAGUUAGAGGUGAAAGCCCGGGGCUCAACUCCGGAAUUGCCUUUAAGACUGCAUCGCUAGAAUUGUGGAGAGGUAAGUGGAAUUCCGAGUGUAGAGGUGAAAUUCGUAGAUAUUCGGAAGAACACCAGUGGCGAAGGCGACUUACUGGACACAUAUUGACGCUGAGGUGCGAAAGCGUGGGGAGCAAACAGG